AGAGUUUGAUCCUGGCUCAGGAUGAACGCUAGCGGCGGGCCUAAUACAUGCAAGUCGAGCGGGUGUAGCAAUACAUUAGCGGCGGACGGGUGCGUAACGCGUAAGCAACCUACCUUUCAGCGGGGGACAACGUUCCGAAAGGGACGCUAAUACCGCAUAAAGCAAGGACCCCACCUGGGGAUGUUGCUAAAGGCUUCGGCCACCGAAAGAUGGGCUUGCGUCCGAUUAGCUAGUUGGCGGGGUAACGGCCCACCAAGGCGACGAUCGGUAGCUGGUCUGAGAGGAUGAUCAGCCACACUGGCACUGAGACACGGGCCAGACUCCUACGGGAGGCAGCAGUAGGGAAUAUUGGGCAAUGGGCGCAAGCCUGACCCAGCCACGCCGCGUGCGGGAAGAAGGCCCACAGGGUUGUAAACCGCUUUUCUCCGGGAAUAAGGCGCCACUCGGUGGCGUUUGCAGGUACCGGAGGAAUAAGCACCGGCAAACUACGUGCCAGCAGCCGCGGUAAUACGUAGGGUGCAAGCGUUGUCCGGAUUUACUGGGUUUAAAGGGUGCGCAGGCGGCUGCGCAAGUCCGGGAUGAAAUGGCGGGGCUCAACCCCGUCGCCGUCCCGGAUACUGCGUGGCUAGAGUCGCGGUGAGGAAGCCGGAAUGGAUGGUGUAGCGGUGAAAUGCGUAGAGAUCAUCCGGAACGCCAAUUGCGAAGGCAAGCUUCUGACCGCGCACUGACGCUCAGGCACGAAAGCGUGGGUAGCGAACAGGAUUAGAUACCCUGUAGUCCACGCCCUAAACUAUGGAUACUCGCUACCCGGGAGCUUCUCCUGGGUGGCUGAGCGAAAGCGUUAAGUAUCCCACCUGGGGAGUACGCUCGCAAGGGUGAAACUCAAAGGAAUUGACGGGGGCCCGCACAAGUGGUGGAGCAUGUGGUUUAAUUCGGCGAUACGCGAGGAACCUUACCUGGGCUAAAUCCAAGAGGACCGGUGCCGAAAGGUACCUUCCCGCAAGGGUCUUUUGGAAGGUGCUGCAUGGCUGUCGUCAGCUCGUGCCGUGAGGUGUUGGGUUAAGUCCCGCAACGAGCGCAACCCCUGUGUCCAGUUGCCAGCAUUAAGUUGGGGACUCUGGACAGACUGCCUCCGUAAGGAGUGAGGAAGGGGGGGACGACGUCAAGUCAUCAUGGCCCUUACGCCCAGGGCCACACACGUGCUACAAUGGGCGGUACAGCGGGAUGCAAAGUCGCGAGGCGGAGCAAAUCCCACAAAGCCGUUCCCAGUUCGGAUAGCAGUCUGCAACUCGACUGCUUGAAGCCGGAAUCACUAGUAAUCGCGGAUCAGCCAUGCCGCGGUGAAUACGUUCCCGGGCCUUGUACACACCGCCCGUCAAGCCAUGGGAGCCGGGGGCGCCUGAAGUCGCGGGUUAAUCCGCGCCGAGGGCGAAACUGGUGACUAGGGCUAAGUCGGAACAAGGUA
rnacentral:rRNA from 1 species